CUGGUUUCAUUUUUUGUUCUUCAAGCUCAAAUUUCUCGUGUUAUUUGUUAUCUUUUUUUUAAAGCAAAAUACACCGGACAUUACAAUAACACUGUAGAAUUUAACAGCAGAAACUCACCAAUGGAAGACGAAAAUUGACAACAAGAGAAUCAAGCUUUACUAUUAAUAUAUAAAUUUAUUUCUCAUAUAUACCUCAAAAAUAAUAGUAGUAAUAAUACAUAUCAAACCAAUAAUCAUGAACCAAACUUCCUAAAUCCUCUGUAUAAUCAAAUCUCGAAAAAUCAACGAACAGAAUAAUCAACAAUACAUGAAAACUCAGUUCCUGAAGAGAGCAACAGCGGAAACAAGCAGAGAAGAAGCCACCAAAGCACCAGAUUGAGCUAGAGAGAAUCCAGCUCCGGCAUCAGGUGCCGGCGCUGGAGCCAAUCCAAUCUCCUGAGCGGAACUUGUUGCUGAAAAAACAACAACAAUCAAUGCAACCAAAACCGACUUGAUAAUGCUGAUUUGUGCCAUUUCUACUAGAUUUGAACAAAGAAAUUGAGAGAAUUUUUUUUUUUUUUUUUG
rnacentral:misc_RNA from 1 species